rnacentral:lncRNA from 1 species
GUGAUUUUGAUAUGCUGCUAAGGUUUGAUAAGAGAAAUGAGAUUCAGAGAACAGAUUAUAUUGUUGAAGAGCUUGACUGGAAAUGAUCCAAACGGAAACAUUGGCUCUUCCUGGGGUUCCAGCCUGCUGUCUUGACAGGAACUAUACCAUCAGCUCUCCUGGGUCUCUUACAUGCCAAGUCAUCCUGCAGAUCUGGGACUCACUCCGUAAUCAGCUUGAUUGCUGUAAGUUGAACACGUCAGUGGCAUGGGCACCAGCUGCACAACCCUAGGAGCCACCAAACACAGUAUAUUCUAUAUAAAUGUUGCUGCCAGGAGCCCCAGUUCAAACUACAAUGUGAGUAACGCCUGCUGGAGUAGAGCAAUAGCUGAAGCCUUGGUCAAAGGCUAUGAAAAUGUUUAAAGCACUAGAUAAAAAUUGCCAAGCUGCCUUCUGGAAAAAUUGUCUGAAUUUAUAUUCAUUCCAGAACUCACCACAUAUAUCAUGACUGAGAAUUAGAAUAUAUUUUAAAACACAAAUUCCCUAGGAAAAAAUGGCCUCCCAUUGCUGUAUUCAUUUGUAUCUAACUGAUUACUAGGGAGAUUAACUUUUUGCUUAUGUCUACUAGUCAUUUGUAUUUCUUCUUUUGCAAACUGCCUAUUCAUCUCUUUUGGCAAAAUAAUAGUAAGUACUGGGUACCAGUGAUUGGUACCAAGAGUUGUUUAUGUAUGAUCUUACGUACUCUUUUCAAUUACACUGCAAGCAGUCAUGCUUAUUAUCUCCAUAUUACAAAUUAGAACUCCAAGAGGUAUACGGAUGAUACGAGUCUUGUCCAACAUCACACAGAAUGUGACAGGGCCUGGAUUUGAACCCAGCUCUAACUCCAGAGCCUGAGCUCUUAAUCACUGGACUCUAGUGCCCCUUAAUUAGUGUGUUAGUGUUCUUCUUAUUAGUUUGUAAUAACUCUUUACAUAGUAAUUAUAAUAACUUUUAAUUGGUCAAAUUUGUGCCAAAGGUAUUUUUAUUGGCUCAUCAUUUGCCUUAAUUUGAUUUAUACAGAUUUAAGUCAUUUUUAUAUCAAUUUAGAUGACUUUUUUUUUUUUGAGAUGGAGUCUUGCUCUGUUGCUCUGUCGCUCUGUCGCUCUGUCGCCCAGUGCAGUGGCGCGAUCUCGGCUCACUGCAACCUCCGCCUCCUAGGUUCAAGUGAUUCUCCUGCCUCAGCCUCCUGAGUAGCUGGGACUACAGGCAUGUGCCACCACGCCUGGCUAAUUUUUUGUAUUUUUAGUAGAGAUAGGGUUUCACCGUGUUAGUCAGGACGGUCUCAAUCUGUCCUGACCUUGUGAUCUGCCCGCCUCAGCUUCCCAAAGUGCUGGGAUUACAGGCGUGAGCCACCACACCCGGCCUAGAUGUCACUAUUGGUACGUUAUCACAUUUUAAAAAUAUUCUAAAUUUGAUUCACAAUAUUAUUAAAAUGUUUGAUGUGAAAUAUUUUCCUUUCUAAUAAAAAAACUAUUGGGGAACAGAUUGACUUCGGAAUAUUAAGAAUGAAACACAUGUAAGCAUAAUAUGUGAAUAUUUGGAAAUGAAAUAACCUACAUCAUUGAUGAAAGGACAUCUUAUUUCUCAUUGAUAUUUCCACUGUCUGCAGGGAAAUAUAAUCAUUUGAAAAUACAAGACAAAUAGCAAAAGAUCAAUAGAAUGCUUAGCAAUGUAAGUUAUCUUAAUGCUUUCAAAAUAACAGUGACCAGAUUUUUUGUUUGUAAUACUUAAGUUGAUUUGCUUGCAAUAAUAAAUAAAUCCUCACAUGCACUAACUCAGUUUUGCAAAGCAUAAGAAAACAAAUGAACCUCAUAAAUGCUAUAUAGCCCCUCCACAAAUGUCCAGUUCUUACCCGUGUUUUGCAUUGAUAUAAAAUAGAAUAGCUAUUAAGUAUUUUGUAAUUUGAGAAAUAAAAAACCUGGUAAUUAUUGAUGGUUUCUCUACUUAGAAAAAGGAGAAUAUUUAUUUACAUAUAUCAGAGUAAUUCUAUUUGGCAAAGGAUAUAUAGCAAAAUAAUCAUUUGUGUUACUAACAUCUGCCUUGUUCUUGCUUAUGAAGAAGACUUAGGACAAGUAUCAGAAUCUUUCCUUCUCACUCCUGAAGAAUUUGUGUUGAGUCUGGGUUCCUGGAUUUUCUAGCAUCUGAGAGUGGUCAAAAAAUUCUCAGACUGCAAAACUUCAGCCUGAGUUUCUGUGCAGAGCAUUCUGGAGUCUUUUCUUCAACAAGGCUGACUGAAGAAGGCUGACACUGUGUGGGAAGGAAGGCAGAACUGAUCUAGCAAAGAGUGAAGGGAGCACUCUUCCUCAUGACUUGGCGUGGGAUGGGGUGGUUCUUAAGGAUGGCAUCCCAUGCCCACUCUCAUGCAGUGCUGUGUGAGGGGAUGGAGCCUUCUGAAGGGUUCUCCCAAGAUGGCAGCAUGGCCUAACACAAAUAAGCCUUAUGCCCAAGCUUGGCAAAAAGAAAAUGGAGGGGCUGUUUUCAAAGGGUCCAUGAGGACUGUAAGUGUGUCAGCAUGAUAUUGGAGGAUCACCUCCUGUUUUCUGACACCAAGAGAGAUGCUGGGUCCCCUAUAAUCCUAAGGAGGCAGGAGACCUCAAAACCAUAACUGAGGAGGUGCAAAUGCUGGUUAGCUCUGGUAGGUGGGGUCCUGCCUGGACUAUAAUGUCCCUUAAAUGGUGUGUUAGUGUUCUUUUUAUUAGUUUGUAAUAACUCUUUACAUAGUAGUUAACCUUUGAUUGGUCAAAUUUGUGGCAAACCCAUUUUUAUUGGCUGAUUAUUUGCCUUAAUUUGAUAUAUCAUAGGGAUUUAAGUCAUUUUUCAUAUGAAUGCAGAUGGCUAAUUCCACUCCAAGUUGUGAAAUUAAUUAAUUAAUGCCAAACAGUCAUUCAACAAACAAUAACUGAGCCCCUACUAUGAUCCAGGCAUAGGUAUAGACCCUGAGAAUAUAACAAUAAACAAAGUCCCUGCCCUUAAGAGGCACAGACAAUGAACUGCUUUUUUUAAAAAGAUAACUUCAAAUGCUGAAAAAUGUGUUCAGAUGAACAUAAAACAGCAUGUCAGGCAACGUCUCUCGGAGGAUGUGACAUUUCAGCAGAGACUUGAUCUUGCAGGUCUGGAGGAGGGAACAGCAGAUUUAAAGGGCUGAGUCAGACACGAGCUGGGCAUGUUAGAGGAACAGGAAAGGCGGCCAGUGGAGCUGGCGUCAAAGGAAUGAAACCGCACGCAGAGGAAGACCAGGUCAGAGGCUGAGUAGAUGUCAGAUCCUAGCAGCCACGUGGGUCAUAGUGGAGACUUUCUGUUUAUUUCUAGACACAAUGGGAAGCCACAGAAGCUUUUAGGAAGGGGAUAACAUGUUCUGAUUCAUACUGAAAAGAUCACUUUGGCAGCUAUGGAAAAGGAUAGUAAGAAGAGCAGGGUGCACGGUGGCUAUGUGACUAUUCCAGUGGUUUCAAAGAAAGGCUGAUGGUGUGGACAGAGGAUAGUAGCAGUGGAGAUGGCAAGACACCAUCAGACUUAGGGUAGAAUCUGACAACACUUGCUGAUGAUGGAAUGUGAGGCAUGAGAUAAACAAUCAUCAAGGUGACUCCUAGGUUUUUAGCUGAGCAGUUAAAUGGCUGGUGGUGCCACUUGCUGUGAUGGUGAGGGCUUGGGGAGGGGGAACUUUGUGUGGGGAUGGAACCGAGGGUUGUGUUUCGGACAUGUGAAGUUUGAGGCACCUAUGAAAUGUCUAAGGAGAUGUCAAGUAGCAAGGUUUGGAGAGAGGUCUGGGUUGGAAAAAAAGAUUUUGGUUAUAAAGUGAAUGAAUGAAAGAACAGAUAGAUAGGUGGGAGCAUAAUGAGAUGGGUAGGUGUUUAGAAGUAAAGAGGGUUGGGGUAUAGCUGGUAAAGUGGAUGGAUGGAUGGAUGACUGCACAGAUGGAUGGAUGGACAGAUAGAUAAAUAGGUAGAUAUUAAUAGAUGGACAGAUAGAU